rnacentral:rRNA from 1 species
AUUGAACGCUGGCGGCAGGCCUAACACAUGCAAGUCGAACGAGUGGCGGACGGGUGAGUAAUGUAUGGGAAACUGCCUGAUGGCGGGGGAUAACUACUGGAAACGGUAGCUAAUACCGCAUACCAUCAGAUGUGCCCAGAUGGGAUUAGCUUGUUGGUGGGGUAACGGAUCACCAAGGCGACGAUCCCUAGCUGGUCUGAGCGGAUGACCAGACACACUGGAACGGAGACACGGUCCAGACUCCUACGGGAGGCAGCAGUGGGGAAUAUUGCACAAUGGGCGAAAGCCUGAUGCAGCCAGGCCGCGUGUAGGAAGAAGGCCUUAGGGGUGUAAAGUACUUUCAGCGGGGAGGCGUUACCCGCAGAAGAAGCACCGGCUAACUCCGUGCCAGCAGCCGCGGUAAUAC